GUUUAUUACAACCAAGCAAUAUAUAAUGCAAAUUUUGUGAAAUAAAAUUUAAAAACAGAUGGGUCUUUGGUUCAAUCUAGCAGGGCUCUUCUUAUGUUUACAGGGAUUGGAUGAGAAAUAAAGGUGAUCCACUACUGUGCACCGUUCCUGCAUCAAGUGAUAAUUAAAACAACAACAACAACGUUUGCUUUUCUUCUGCUGCUGAGGAGUAGAUGAGCUCAUACCAUCUGGUGUUAAAGACAGAUGAGCGCUUAGGGCUGCCUUUCUGUUUUUACAGCCUUUUUCACAGAGAUUUUUUCCAGAGAGAGGUCUUAAGGUGUUUUUGUGCGUGCAGUAAAUGUGGACCAGGAACUUCUAAAAGAAAACCCAUGCCAGCCUGUCUCAGCAAAGCAAAUCAAAGCACUGCUUUGCAUAACCACUGAGUUCGAUGCUAAACAAAUCUAGCCCCCCCAUCCAGUUCUAAGCGACUUCCAUUUGUUAAAAGCAAAAGGUUGUAAACUGAGCAGGCAGAGACACUGUUUUCUGCACUGUGCUUUGUCCCAACCUUUCCCAUAAUGUUCAGAUAGAGAUCCCAAUCUGAGCAUCAAUUGAGCCCAACUUCUUUGACGACGAUAGUUUUAAAAAAAGGGUGGGGUCUGUUUUUGGACACUUUUUAAUUCCAUUUUUUAACAUAAAGUUUCAAAGAUGC